AUUUUCUAGAACAAAUGUGGAAGCAGUGGAGAGAAUUAAAAAGAAUAUAGAAAAAUAGUCCUUCCCAUAACAGGUUAAAGGACUUAAACCUGUUCCCUUCACUGAAAGGUGCUGCUGAUUUAGUCUCUGUGCUUUGAAUCCUAUACCAGGAAAAGAUACAAAGGGGCUUUUCAGCUCACUUGAAAGGUUUAGAAUGACCCAAAAAGGUGAAAGCAGAUAUUAGAUAAGACAACACUUCUUAGCAGUGACAGUAAACAUUAAGACACCUUACCAGUUCUUAAAACGAGAUUAGAUAAGCCAAUGUAGAGAUCUGCUUAAAUGUAGCUUCUUGUGUGCCCUGUGCUCUCUGCGGGCCUGACUGCCUCAUUCCUUCUGACCUUGCUUGUCUAUGAAAAUACAAAUCCUGUUAUUCAGUUUAUGUGUUGUAGCCAGGAACAUCAGCAUUGCUUUCCACAUGCUCCUUGUUCUUCCCAGUCAAUAUUAAGACAAUGACUCUGAUUGCUGUCUUAAUGACUUAUAGUCAGUAGCUAUAAUUCAAUCUCCACUCUUGAAAUUUUGUAUGUAGAUCAUACUGAAUGAUCUAGAAAAGUUGGGAAAGCAUGAGAUAUUUGCUAUUUCUCACAAUACAAAAAUUAACAUCCACUUUAAGAGAACAUUAGGUAGCAGUUUUAAAAUUAAUCUAUGCUUCCUGGCAGUGCAUAAUUAUACUGUGUAAAUGUAUAAUUAUAAAUAUCAUGCAUUUAUGUAGGAUAAAUCCAUCAAUGAAUCUUAAAUACAAUGGAGAAAAUACUAUAUUUAAUUCAAGAAAACAGUAAUUGUUGAAAACUGAUGCAGUUUACAAAAAGAGAAAGGUCGUAUACUGUUAGGUUGGGAGUUUCCUUGAUCCAGCACGCUAUCCCUUCUGUCCUUCAUGUUUCAAGACUAUUCAGUUUAUCACAAGAUUCAGGAAAGAUUAUUUUCCUUCAUGAUCAAGAUGAAUAUGUGUGCUCUGAAGUGGGUAUUUCUUUCAGUUCUUUAAAGCAUCCAAGUUGGAUACGACUGAAAAAGGCAUGCCAGACUGAGUGAGUAGGCCAGAGCUUUGAGGGGGUACUGAGAAUCCUCUGCUUUAAAUGCUUGGCUGGUACAUCUCAGCCAGCUAGUCAGGAUUAAAUUUAUCUUGAGACCCGGGGACAGGGAUGAAUUUUCCACAAUUCAGAUUAGAAGGAAGCUUGGGAUUUCUUUCAGUUUUCGUUAUAGCUUGGAGCAUGGAUCAUUUCUCACCUAAUCAAUUCCCUGUUAUUGUUGAAGCCCAAGGUAACAUCUUGUUCUUUUCUGUUCCCUGCCUAGGGCACUUAAUAAUUUAGUUUUUCAUGGGCUGAAAUGAUGUAGUUUAGCCCAAAUUACUGGGCUAGGAACAAGGUAAAUGGAGGAAAAUUAAUAUCUUGUGUCACAGAGCUCAGUCUGAUUCCUCAGAUCUCUCCUUCUGGUAUUAAACAUAAAACUUUGCCUUAGCAAAUUAAUUUGGCCUGAAAGAGUAAAAGGAAUUUCAGAUAGGCUGCGGGGAGUUUUCCUGCAAAGUUUGAAAACAGCAUCUAUUUUGUUUGUUGUUACUGUGUGACUAACUGAAGUAAAAAUCUUUUGUCUAACAUUGCAUUCAAAUUUUCCAUGUAGUUCUAUGUCCUUGAAAUGUAGAUUGGGAAUACAUAAUGCAAUAAUAAAAAUGUUGUUAGAAUUUGGAGUUUAUUUUAAUAACAAUAUUUUAAUAAUUUAAGGCCAAACUUGCUAACACUUAUUUAAGAAAGUUACUGAUAUACUCAUGGAAAAGUUAGUGCCAAUUUGACCACUACACAUAGGACAAGUUUCCUUCUUGGCUGUCAUUCUCUGCCAUGGCAGUAUAUAGUGAUUAAGUACCCACUUUCAUAGAAGCAUAGAAUCAUUUGUGUUUGAAGAGACCCUUACAGGCCAUCUAGUCCAACCCCCCUGCAAUGAAAAAGGAUACCUUGAUCAGGUUGCUGAGAGCUCUGUCCAGCCUGACCUUGAAUGCCUCCAGGACAGGGCAUCCACCACCUCUCUUUCACAACCCAUUCAGUGCCUCACCACCUUUAUUGUAAAAACUUUUUCCAUAUAUCCAAUCCAAACCUUCCCUCUUUGAGUUUGAAACCAUUUCCCCUUGCCUUAAAACAACAGACCCUGCUCAAGACUCUGUCCCCUAUUUUCUUUAGAUACUGAAAGGUUUAUUCUUGGUAAGGAAGCCCUUAGCUGACAUGGCAUUAACCUCUCUGAUUAUGCCUACCCCCCCCUCCGAAAAUAAUAAUAAUAAUAAUAAAGCCCAGAGAUGAUCCUUGGUUGCCC
rnacentral:lncRNA from 1 species